rnacentral:lncRNA from 1 species
AGGCCAGGGUGUAGAGCUUGAAAGAAGUGCCAUUCAAGGGCCGAUAAUUGGUGGCCCUUUCAGCCUAUUAGUACAGAAGGCCAGUUAGUCACUGAACACAACCUUCUGGAGAUCUGGGUUCUCCUCUACUUCGGUUAUACUUCAUCUCCUGAUGUUGGGCCAGUAGAGGUUCAAAAGAUGGCCAAGACCGUUGAGAUAUUAGGUUUUACUAAUCCAUUUUUCCUUGCAAUUAAAUUGAACUGUUUUUGAGUUCUAUGAUUGAUUUUUUGUUUUUCCUAAUUUGAUUGGAACAAGAGUCAAAACAGAAUCUCAAGAUUUUGCCCAUAUUUGUCACAAUUGAUCCUUAGAGGGAUACGCCUGCACAGCUUCGUGCUUACCUCAGAGGUGAGUUUGCUAUUGACUUGUUUUCUUGUACCCUUCCACAAAACUGGUUGGAGUAUUUUCCAUGAAGCCAGACAUCUCAUAUUUGGUGAAAAAUGGUAGCACUGUUAUAAGUUGACUUUAUUAUUAAUGAAUAAUUGUCAUCAUAACCCAUAAUUAUAUAAUUUGUCUCUCUUUGUAAUUGAGUUUUAAGGAAAAUGACCUGAAGUCGUCAUUUUACAUCAUGAUAUAAUUUCAUCAAUCAUGCUGCCUUCUUAAUCAUGAUUAUUUUUUUGGGUGAGAUAUCAGUUGUGUGUGGCCUUAAGAAAGGAAAGAUGUAAAAUAGUAAUUUUCAGUUAUAACUUAUUUUAUAAGACUUAAAUGAGAUCCAAAGACUUUCUUAGCUGCUGCAUUUGUGUAUAUCUUGUCGAGGGGUUUUCCUUGACUUAAAUUUUGUUAAUUAUCAAAAGAAAGUGUUUUCUAAUGCACUAAACAUCAAUUCCGGCAAAUUAUAUUAUUCUACAAUAAUAAAAAGUACAAUAAGAGAAACCUACUGCGUUUUUUUUUUUUUUUUUUCAGGAAAAAAAAUAUUUUAAGGCAAUUUUUUCUUUGUUUCAACUGGGAUUUUGCAAAGCCCAAUUAGUAUAGGUGAGUAUGGUCACAGCUGCACCGGCUUAAGCUAUUUAUUCUCAUGUUCUUCUGUCCUAUGUCUUUAUCUCCAGAAGUAUUAAAUCAUUUUGAUGGUUCUUUAGAAUGUCUUUUAAUGCAUGGCAAGAAGUAUCUUUUCCCUAUUAUGUAUGUGAGUUGCACCAUUUGGUGUUUAUUUAUUUAGUAGUAGUACUAAUAAGCUAAGUUGUAAUUCUGAUAUUUUCUAUGACUAACAUUUCCCGCACCACUUUCUUUCCAUAUCGAGUGUAGAGUUCGACUCAAGGAUAGUGGGAUUAACUGGACCAGUUGCUGCUAUUAGACAGAUGGCACAACAGUCCAUGUAUUCUUUAAAAAGGUCGACGAAGAAGGAGAUGAUUAUCUUGUCAAGUCUUCUCAAAACAUGUAAAGUGCAAGCCUUCCUCCGAUCUUCCUCGUCUUCACUGUUUCCAUUUUUCUUUUCCCGAUAUAUCUUUUUGCUGUUUUGAAAAGUUGUAUGAAUAUAAUUAACAGGUACUUGAUGAAUCCGAACAUGGAAGUAGUGAGGUGCUUUGGAGUUGAAUACAGUGCGGGGUAGGUUUAUACUUUUCAAGUGUCACUCUUAACAAUUUUUUCCCUUCACACUGUCAAAAUGUAUGUUAGUUUUGAAUUUGAUCCAAUUUUAAUACAAAAUGACACUUGGUAUCUGCAGCAGCUAAGGUUCCUCAUGUUCCCUG